CACCUUCUCCUCACGGGACACCCCGGUGCCGGCGCCGGAGUCCGUCUCUUUGGGCUGCAUCUCCAGGACCGUGCGGAACAGCUUCUCCGAGGUGACCGUCAGGAAGCCGAUCUCCGCGUUGGGGUGCAGGCCGUACAGGUCAGACCUCACGCCGCCCCCCCCGCCUGCCCUGGACAGUGGCACCCCGCCAGGCCCUUUGCAGAGUCCAGGCCCGCGCGUACAGGCUGUUCGCACCAAGGCUGGCUUUACGCGGUGUAUGUCGAUUUCACUCCUUUCUGCGCGAAGGAGUGGGUCCAGCACGGGGUCCACGGUCUCGCCGAUGUUCUCAAUGAGCAAGGUGUCCCCCUCGGAGAUGGCGCGCUCGAUGAUGUCCAGCUGGGCGUCCACGAUGAGCGGCCAGCGCUCCGUGUUGCACAGGAUGGUGGCGUUCUCCGUGGACAUGCGGUCGCUGGGGAGCCCCUGGUUGUUCCACGUGGCCACGCCCGCAUCGUCAGUGAGCAGGCUCAAGGGGUCCAGACCCUCCGUGAUGGGGAUGGGGACCUGCCGGGAGGUGCAGCCUUAGUGCCCUCGGGAGGCGCCCGCGGUCCAGUCCCAGGGCCUCUGCCGUCAGACGGCGGGCGCGCGACCACCUGGGAGGACGUCAGCGCGGGCCACGGGGCCACAGUCGGACCCGAAUGGCUGGAGCCUCGGUCUCGGGAUGCAGGGAGUUUGGGGGCCGCCUGCCCGGCGGGCCCCUCUCCGGGUGUCCCGGGCCGCGGGCCUCCUACCUUUAACUUGUUGAUGUAGGGGACCCAGAACUUCUCCAUCAGCUCGUUCCGGUACUUCUUGGUGAAGUAGCCCACGUAGGAGACGAAGGCCGAGAUGAGCAGCACGUCCCCGCACAGCGUGACCCCCUGGGACCUGAAGCUCUGCACCGACUCCGCCCAGCGGACGUUCUCGGACGCCAGGCCGCCCACCAGCCUGAGGGGACCCAGGUCCGUGGGGUCAGCGGAGGGAGCACAUCUGGGUGAACGACGUUCGGAGGAGAGGAGCGAGGCGGGGCGCCCCCACCUCCCCGUCCGUGACCCCCGCCUUGCCCGUCCGCACGUCCGUACCUUGCUCCGCGCUUCCGGUGGAGAAUGCUUUGGGGGCUUGGGGGGUAAGUGCUUCGGGGAGCACACCAGUGUUGCCCUCUGCGUGUUGCUACGGCGACGCCAAUGCCGUGACGUCUCCCCCGUCUGCCCCACGUGCUGGGGCUGCCCCUGGACACCCCCAGCCCGCGCUCUGGCUGGCGGGAAGCUGCGGGCUCCCCUCUCUGGGGGGAUAAGCGGGGGGUUGGGGAGCAGGUUACCUGUUGGCCAGCGAGAUCACCCUGUUGGUGGCGUCGGCCUCCUGCUGGCACUUGAUUUUCUCAGCCGUGGCUUUUUCAAACGCCGACGUCAGGUUGCUCAGCUUGUCCUGGGCCUCGGCCAGCUCGGCGUUGGCCUCCUCCAGCGCCUGCCGCUUGGGCGCCACGUCGCAGUACACCUCGUAGAAGCGCACGAUGUUGAUGCACCAGGAGCACAGCCCCGCGGCCGCCGUGGACUU